rnacentral:lncRNA from 1 species
CAACUGCAAACAUAAAAUUAAAUAUAUUUUUCUCAUCAUUUAAUUAAAUCUUUUAUUUUCACUUACAGAAAUGUUGAAUUCGGUAGAUUGGUAGAUUGGUGGAGAGAAAACAUGGAUUUUUAGCAGCUGAGGAGAAAAUUAAGAUUUCAGAUUUUGGAUAUUGGUGUUCUGUUUUUUUUGUUUGUUUUCAUCUUGAGUUUUUUGUUUUUUUUUUAAAUCAUCAGUCUUGGAGUGAAGAAGAGAAACCAGAAAGACACUUAUUUCAUUUCACGUGUGAAACUUUUGCUCUUGAAGAACUCUCAAGUACACAGCCAUGUGGUCGUCACAGCUACUAGUCUUCACCAUGCUCUUGGCACCAGUAGUAUAUGGUAAGACCUUGAAUUACAUUUCUUAUUGUUCCACUUAUUCAUACUAAACCCUUUCUUCCAAAUCUUUGCUCUAAUAUUUUGCAGCUUAUGCCUACCAUAUGGUAAUAUGUUAAAUAAAAGGCUGCUUAUUUACCUUAAGCUGCAAUAAAUAUCUCAUUUAGAUGGAUUUUAAAGCACUUUUGAAAUGUAUGUAUAACAAAAGUUUUUCUUUAGAACUCUUACAUGUUUUAGUUUUAGUUUUUAGCACUUUCUAUAAAUCAGCUGAAUAAUUAAAUGUUAUCUGUGAAUUAUUUGCUUUACAUUUCUGCAGUUAUCAAUUUUUGUGUAAGUAUGCACAUUUGGAAGAAAACUCCAC